UUUAACUCCUCCACUUCACAUGCCAAAUCCUCGUUUGCCGCACAGCUCAAAUCUAAAGACGACGGCUCUGGAAUAGCACAGUAAUCAUGAUCGGCUGACACUUCGGUGUCUGACUCUAAAGGAAGAGAUAACUCCGGUUCCUCUGGCCUUUCUCUCCUCUCCCACACACUGGGUCGUGUUGUGAGCCUGUAGGCAUUCCACUCAAAGAGCAUAGGUAUUGCUCCUUCUUUUGGCUCAACUAGGUCGCUUUCCAUGAAGUGUCUGCAGCAGACCUUAGUGUGGGAUGUUAUAUUAAAACUAUCCCGACGAAUGUUUGCCACCCACCUUCGUCGCAGAUAAACAAGACGCGGUGCCUUGUGUUUUUUCAUGGGUCUCUGACUCAACCCAAGCCAGGAAGUCUGUUUUCGAGAGGACAACUGAGAGACUGGGGUUUGAUGUUCGUGAAGUCGAGCCUUGUGGAAACGAAGAUGUUGGUGUUGCUAGCUUAGCUAACUUAGCUAGCGUUGCUUCGGACCACGACUACGACGCACGACCACCCCCAGUAAUUGUUCUUGAUCUGGACUGAGUUAAAAGUAUUCCUGCACCUUGCCGUGGUGGGUGGGCUUUCAACUAUAAGUCAGGUCACUUAGGUUCCUGACAGGCUCCGUGGGGGCACCCGUGAUGGACCAGUCAAACGAACGCUUGUGAGGACAUGCAUACAUACAAUGAAUGACUCAUCCCGCCGGAUCCUCCCGAGCAGCACUCCACAGCUGGCUCCGGCUCUGCUCUCUGGUGAACCUGUUUCUUGGUCGUUGUCAUCGCUGUUGUACUAAAACACUUGUGAUGAAAGAUUCAUCCCGCCAGAUCCUCUCCACAGAAAUGUCUGACCUGGUGUCAGUGACAAAGUCACACCAGGGAAGGCCAGUGACCGCAAGCUGGCCUUGCACCUGGGUGAAGUAGUGGUGACCCCUUCUAAGUACAGGUUUCCCCCCAACAAACUUAACAUGAGGUGCCUCGGUGAUGCUGUUGAUGUCCGGACAUUUCACCUCCACCAGUCCGAAGGGGGGAUCCUGCAAAGGGUCAACCACCCGGCCAUCUGGGCUUGCACCCAGAUGGGGAGCAUCUGGGUGCACAAUGAAGCCACAGGGGAGCACGUUGACCUGCCAUUGCUCUGCGUAGCGCUGGAGCACUUCUGGCUCCAGCUCCAACCCCCGCCGCAUAGCUGCGGUUUGCCGGGUUCCCUUGAGGAUCCUCUCUGCCAUCCGCUGCCGGAUUUCAUCUCCCCUGGCCACAUAGACAUCAUGGAACCGGCUUGCUGUGAGCCUGCUCUCCCGAGCAGCACUCCACAGCUGGCUCCUGCUCUGCUCUCUGGUGUCCCUUUCUAAAAGAGCCGAGAGGCCAGGGGUCAUCAGCAGGCACUCGAGGUGAAGCUGGUGGUGCAGCAUGGGGACAACCGUAAGCCUCUGGGGAAACCGGUACCCUGCCAGAGGAAGAUCGGGGAAGAUUGGACCCUCUCGGUGCCAGAUCUCCCGGCUUGCUGAGGCCAUCCUUAAAAAUAUUUUCGUUUGCCGUAACCCGACCGACCCUGUCAAUUUAGA